ACGUCCUCUAAUGCCACUUCCGUGGGUGCUAGGUUAGAGGCUGGGGGCGGUGCUGACCUUGAGAGUGCGCGGGGGGGAGGCGCAGGCGCAGCACAGGCUGCCCCUUCCUGGAGACUUUCCGGAUCUCCACAGACCUGUUUGUCCCUCCGUCAUCUCUUCUACCUGCUUUAGUGCGUCCUGCAGCGCUCCUCUUCCUCGGGGCAGUGGAAUUUGAUCCUCAGAUGUUUCUUCACUAUUCAUAUAUACCAGUUGAAGCCAGAAGAACAUCUACCAAGAGCAGAGAAACCAGGAGGAGAAUUCUGCCUAUUUAAUACAUUCCAAUGUGGACGGUUUCCUUUUAUUUUAAAAAAUAUAUAUCAUCAGCUGGGGAAAAAGUGAAACUCCCGUGUACCUCUUAAUUUGUGUUUUUUUCCAAAAUCUGUACCCAGCAACUCUGUGCCUUUUUUUAUUUGGCUGUAAGCCACGGUACUGGAGGCAGGCUUGAAGUGGAUAUACAGAGCACCUUUAACCCAGAAAUUAAUCUCACAACUUGGGAUCCUUGUUUAAGACGUGACUGUAUCUACAAUUUCACUUACAGGAUCUCUUUUUGCCAGUAUCUAGUUUUGUUAUAAAGCUGGUCUUGGGAGGUAAACUAGGAAGCUUAACAAGAAAUUUAAGAAGGUUGGGCAGGCAGGAGUGGCUAUACAUGUACCUGGAGAGCAUGAUACCCAAGCUAUAAAUGGUCGAAAGACCAUGGGAACCACUUCUGAGCCACCCAAAAGAAGCAUGCUUUAUAUGAAAAAGGGGCCUAGAGACACUAGAGACAGAGUGUAUGAGUUGUUUUCACUUUAAAUUUUCUUUUUUUGGUGGGGGUGGAAGGGGGAUGGAUAAUGUGAUAAAGAUACGGGAAUUGUAAGUACCAACGUUGGAAGUAGCUGGAGGUGGGGUGGGGCUGAGAAAUAGUUUGUGAAACAGACCGGCUGCUGACGGAUCCAGAACUUCCCUGAGGGUUCCACCUCUGCUCUAUAGGGACGAGGUUGUAAAUAGACAAGCCCCAGGGCAUCUGCAGAUGAUAAGUGUGGUAGAGAAGGAUUGGAGUCGUUCUGCUUGUGUAUCUGUGGGAAGCAGCUGCUAUCCUUGAGGAAGAAAAGGUGGAGAAGGAAACUGGCUAUCAGUCUGUCAGUAACAACACAUCCUGUGAAGUCUUACUCUUUCAUUUCUGACACUUUGGUUCUUACAUCCGUCCUAAACCUGGCAGCCUCAUUGAGGUUCACAGAGCAUCUCCUCCUAUGUGACAGUAAGACUGGAAUUAUUAUCAGGAUGGAAUCUAUUCCUGCCAGAGUAAAACCACGAGAGGAAAUCACAGUCAGUAUUCGUUAUCUGCUUAUCAUUUUUAAUAGAUCAUGGAGUUCUGUGUUCCUUAUUUGGUAUUUGACAAUUUGAUAAAUAACCCUUGAUUAAUAUCCUUUAAUAUUCUAAUUUCUUUUACAGUGUGAAAAAUCUGUUAUACGUAAUGUUUCCUAAAGAUUAAAAUGCAUACCACAUAUGUUUAAA